GGCGAGUGGCGAACGGGUGAGUAAUGUAUCGGAACGUGCCCAGUAGCGGGGGAUAACUACGCGAAAGCGUAGCUAAUACCGCAUACGCCCUACGGGGAAAGGGGGGAGUCGCAAGACCUCUCACUAUUGGAGCGGCCGAUAUCGGAUUAGCUAGUUGGUGAGGUAACGGCUCACCAAGGCGACGAUCCGUAGCUGGUUUGAGAGGACGACCAGCCACACUGGGACUGAGACACGGCCCAG
rnacentral:rRNA from 1 species